rnacentral:rRNA from 1 species
UACGUAGGGUGCGAGCGUUGUCCGGAAUUACUGGGCGUAAAGAGCUCGUAGGUGGUUUGUCGCGUUGUUCGUGAAAACUCACAGCUCAACUGUGGGCGUGCGGGCGAUACGGGCAGACUGGAGUACUGCAGGGGAGACUGGAAUUCCUGGUGUAGCGGUGGAAUGCGCAGAUAUCAGGAGGAACACCGGUGGCGAAGGCGGGUCUCUGGGCAGUAACUGACGCUGGAGGAGCG